rnacentral:rRNA from 1 species
CCUACGGGAGGCAGCAGUGAGGAAUAUUGGUCAAUGGACGAGAGCCUGAACCAGCCAAGCAGCGUGAAGGAUGACUGCCCUAUGGGUUGUAAACUUCUUUUAUCAAGGAAUAAAACGAGCCACGCGUGCCUUUUUGCGUGUACUCUAUGAAUAAGGAUCGGCUAACUCCGUGCCAGCAGCCGCGGUAAUACGGAGGAUCCGAGCGUUAUCCGGAUUUAUUGGGUGUAAAGGGAGCGUAGAUGGGUUGUUAAGUCAGUUGUGAAAGUUUGCGGCUCAACCGUAAGAUUGCAAUUGAAACUGGCAGUCUUGAGUACAGUUGAGGUAGUCGGAAUUCGUGGUGUAGCGGUGAAAUGCGUAGAUAUCACGAAGAACCCCGGUUGCGAAGGCAGAUUACUAAACUGUGACUGACAUUGAUGCGCGAAAGUGUGGGUAGCAAACAGGAUUAGAUACCCCUGUAGUC